rnacentral:rRNA from 1 species
CGUGCGGGACGAAGGCCUUCGGGUCGUAAACCGCUUUCAGCAGGGACGAGGCCGCAAGGUGACGGUACCUGCAGAAGAAGCCCCGGCUAACUACGUGCCAGCAGCCGCGGUAAUACGUAGGGGGCGAGCGUUAUCCGGAUUCAUUGGGCGUAAAGCGCGCGUAGGCGGCCUGCUAGGUCGGGAGUCAAAUCCGGGGGCUCAACCCCCGUCCGCUCCCGAUACCGGCUGGCUUGAGUCCGGUAGGGGAAGGUGGAAUUCCCAGUGUAGCGGUGGAAUGCGCAGAUAUUGGGAAGAACACCGGUGGCGAAGGCGGCCUUCUGGGCCACGACUGACGCUGAGGCGCGAAAGCUAGGGGAGCGAACAGGAUUAGAUACCCUGGUAGUCCUAGCCGUAAACGAUGGACACUAGGUGUGGGCGGAUUGUCCGUCCGUGCCGCAGCCAACGCAUUAAGUGUCCCGCCUGGGGAGUACGGCCGCAAGGCUAAAACUCAAAGGAAUUGACGGGGGCCCGCACAAGCAGCGGAGCAUGUGGCUUAAUUCGAAGCAACGCGAAGAACCUUACCAGGGCUGACAUCUAGGUGAAGCGGCGGAGACGCCGUGGCGAGAGGAGCCUAGACAGGUGGGCAUGGCUGUCGUAGCUCGUGU